rnacentral:rRNA from 1 species
UGAAGAAUACCGGUGGCGAAGGCGGCCUCCUGGAUCUGUACUGACACUGAGGUGCGAAAGCGUGGGUAGCGAACAGGAUUAGAUACCCUGGUAGUCCACGCCGUAAACGAUGACAACUAGCUGUUGGGAGACAAUGUCUUUCAGUGGCGCAGCUAACGUUUUAAGUUGUCCGCCUGGGGAGUACGGCCGCAAGGCUAAAACUCAAAUGAAUUGACGGGGACCCGCACAAGCGGUGGAGCAUGUGGUUUAAUUCGAUGCAACGCGAAAAACCUUACCUACUCUUGACAUACUUGGAAGCUCUUGUAAUGAGAGUGUGCCUUUUGGAACCAAGAUACAGGUGCUGCAUGGCUGUCGUCAGCUCGUGUCGUGAGAUGUUCCGUUAAGUCGGAUAACGAGCGCAACCCUUACCCUUAUUUGCCAGCGAUUCGGUCGGGAACUAUAAGGGGACUGCCGGUGAUAAACCGGAGGAAGGUGAGGACGACGUCAAGUCAUCAUGGCCCUUACGAGUAGGGCUACACACGUGCUACAAUGGGGAAUACAGACGGACGCUAAGCCGCGAGGUGGUGCUAAUCCUAAAAAGUUCUUCGUAGUCCGGAUUGGAGUCUGCAACUCGACUCCAUGAAGUCGGAAUCGCUAGUAAUCGCGAAUCAGCAUGUCGCGGUGAAUACGUUCUCGGGUCUUGUACACACCGCCCGUCACACCAUGGAAGUGGAUUGCACCAGAAGUAGAUAGUCUAACCUUCGGGAGGGCGUUUACCACGGUGUGCUUCAUGACUGGGGUGAAGUCGUAACAAGGUAGCCGUAGGGGAACCUGUGGCUG